rnacentral:tRNA from 1 species
GAGGAUAUAGCUCAGUGAUAGAGUGCAUGCUUAGCAUGCAUGAGGUCCUGGGUUCCAUCCCCAGUACCUCCA